GUGCGCAUCGUGAAGCACGCGUUCGACAUCAUCCACCUGCUGACGGACCAGAACCCCAUCCAGGUGGUGGUGGAUGCCAUCAUCAACAGGUGCGCGUGCUGUCGCCGUCAUGGGCACGGAGAGAAGUCAUUAUGGGAGAGAUUGGCACGGAGAGGGUGGGGGUGGUGUGAGGGUCGAGAGCGGCGAGGGCGUGCCUGCCUUCCAAGCGGACGGGCGGAGGCGCGGAGCGGGUGGAACGAGCAUGCAGCGCGAAUGCGGAGCUCUGGCGAACGCUUUUGUGUGUGGGAAGGGGGAUUAGAUACAGUAUGCAUGGCGUCUGGAGCACGCCUAUCGCCGGCUGGAGCUCGGCGGCCGGGCGGGCCUCAGCUGGCAGCAGCAGGGCAUCCAGCACAGGAGUGUCAGGCAGCCACAGCACCACAGCAGACAUGAUUGCCGGUCGGCGAGUUCGGACUGGGGCUUUUGGAGCAAGAGAACAGCAACCAGGAGCAGCCACUGCGGGUAGCCUGACUGAGGCGGCGGGGCUGCUGCUGUGCGAAAUGCCGAGCGCGCUGCCGCCGCCAGCCCGGCAGGGGGGAGGCAGCGUUGGCGGCCGAUGACGGUUCUGCUGCGGACGCGGUUACGAGCCACUGGUAUGCGGAUGGGGCGGAUCCAUGCCUGCCGGAAUGCGUGUUGGACCCUGGCGCCGGAUGGAGCACCGCGAUGCUGGCAAUGAGCCAGCGGCGGCUGUCCGCGAGGGAACCUGGAUCAGCGGCAACAGCAGGAGCGCUGUGGCGUGCACAGAGGGUCAGAGCGGAUCUGCCCUAUGGGCCGGCAGGGGGAUGGUACCAACGUGACAGCAAAGGCGACAGCAGCUGCCAUAAGUUGGCGCCUGGUUGCUUUCCUGGCUUGCACGACCCAUGGCGUUAUAGUAUCACGAGUGCACAAAGCUACCAAAGGCGUGGUGUCCUGUCCUCACGGUGUUCGUGCAUAUGCGUGUGUAUUCCUGUGUGCAGCGGCCCUCGUGAGGAUGCCACCCGUAUCGGCUCCGCCGGUGUGGUGCGCCGCCAGGCCGUCGAUAUCUCGCCCCUGCGCCGCGUCAACCAGGUGCGUGUGACCUCUUGAUAUGAGCGCGGGUUCUUCAGCGGGGAUCACGGCGGAUCGGUAGCGGCGGCCAUAUAAGUUCCGGCACUGCCUUCGGCGCAGUCACAGCUUCAGUCACGUGCGCAGCAACGGGUGGGGUGAGGGGCAGCGGACACCCAGGCGUUCAGGUGGAAAGGCGCAACUGCGCUGCUUGAGCUUGGCCAAAAUUGAGGAGCUUGCGGGAUAGCACAGCGGUUGCCAAUCGCUGCGCAUGGACGAACAUGCUUUGAUGAUGUGCUCGGAGUCCAGGGGUUGGAGCUUUGUUGCCCCCGAAUGGGUUGCAUGUCUGGGCAGGUUGAUUGCCAUCAGCCGCAGACGGUUGCCACAUCGCGAGGUGUUAGGAGCAAGCAGUUCUAACAUACGCCGCGCUUUGAAUGGCAGGCAGUUGGCUUGCAGCUUGCCGCCUGUGCGCCGCGGGUGCACAGCUCCGCUAUCCAUGGCUGCUUGCCAGCCGCGACUACUGCACCCCGGCCGCCUACUCACAAAUCGUCUUUGUCCUCUGUGCUUCAUGUGCACAGGCCAUCUACCUGCUGACCACUGGCGCCCGCGAGGCCGCCUUCCGCAACAUCAAGACCAUUGCGGAGUGCCUGGCUGACGAGCUGGUGAACGCUGCCAAGGGCUCGUCCAACAGGUGGGCGCCUGCGUACUAGCACGAUGGGCUAGGAUUGGAGGCGCCAGAGGCCGCCGUGAGGCGGGCGGCAGUGGUGCCGGGUUGGUCAGGCAUCCAAGAAAAAAGUGCCGCGGUUGGGUUCGGGCGAGCGGCACAUGCAUUACGGCACUGCGCCUCCACCACAUUCAAGCACUUGUGAAGUUAUUCGCUCCUGACUUUUCACACAAAUGUGCCGCGCAGCUACGCCAUCAAGAAGAAGGACGAGAUCGAGCGCGUGGCCAAGGCCAACCGCUAAAGGAGCAGCAGCAGGUGCUGCCGCGGAGGUCGCAGGAGCAGCAGCAGGGAGGGAGCAUCCGCAGCCGUGGUGUGGGCUGCUGCGGGCAGUGUGGCCGGGGGUACACUGUGUAACGAUGUACACACGCUUGUGACUCAUCCGGCCCUGACCGCGGUGGCUUGUGUUCUCUGCAAUGACUCUCGCCAGUGACUCUCGUAGCGUCAAGACGUUGGAAACGAGCGGGCGCCCAAGCACCAGCUGGCCAUGCAUAAGAGACGUUAGGCCAGCCAUGUGCGAGAAGCGGUAGGAAUGGCAGCAUUUUACAGGGGUGCCCCAUGCUGCAAGUCGCCUUUGAGUUCGUCAGCAUGCAGCUUCAACCGCUGGACGUAACUCUGAUGCAGUUGGAUGACAAGGUCUGACGCGGGCUGCCGCAGCAUUGCACUCUUGUGGGUGCCGUUGGCACCUGCCGCACUGGCUUAACCAAGCGCGACCAGCCAGUGCCUACUGCCACCAUUGCUCAACCAGCCAGACACAAAAGGACAGCCCACCCAGACCAGCUGGCAGCUGUUGUGGAACCGACCGUGUGAUGCCUGUGGGAGGGGCAGGUGUGUACGGAGCAGCCGGUGGGUGCUGGGAGUGGCGACAGGCGCGGGCUGUAGUGUCGGCGGUUGGCACGCCUGCUGCAACCAGGAUAGGCACUGGAGUGCGGGGGUCUAUGUCUGCCCCGCCCACGAAACCUCUGUCCCUGCCCCGCCCGCGAAACUUUCGAGGAGACAUCGUUACACCACAGUGCAAGCCGCCACAGAGCCGCCACGCCUCCACAUAGAACCGCCAAGCCACUGCGCCAACAGUGCAUUCAUAGAACCCAUAACCAAUGUCAUAACACACAAACCUCUAGGGCUCAGCCCCUAGCCUUACGAGCCUCGGCUCGUGAGGAAGCGCACAACAUUUUCGUGUGCGGCUUUGGCUUUCGUUACUAACUUUUUGUAGCCUUUUGCGGGCUCUGUGAGGCUUUACGACUUGGUUCCGACUUGGUUUGGAUGGCUUCGGCCUUGGGUGGGUGCGUCGCGCCCUGUUUUCGGCAUUGCGCGUUCUGUGGCGGCUGGCCGCGUCUGGGUGGCCGGCCGCGCUCGUUCUGCUCUGUGGUCGCUUUUUGGUUUAGUGUGUGCAGGUUACGGUGGCCCUGGUGGUCGCUCGUGGCCCGGCGCAAGCUUCGAUGUUCCGUGGUGCUCCUCGGCGCCUCUCCUCGUGCCGCCUGGCCCGCCGUCGUCUCCACCGGCGGCCUUGCUGGCUCAGCAGAUAGUUAGGUUGCGGGUGCCGUUCGUAGCAUGGCGGUUCAGGGACCGUUAGGCAGCAGAUGACGCUGGUCCCGGGUGUCGGAUGUGAGUGCCCGGGCGGCUGUUGCCCGGGCGCCCGGGCGGCUGGUGCGCCUGUUCGCCUCCGGGCGCGCGCGUGCCUGUUUGGUGGGUCGGUCUAGUUCGCUGGUGGGGCGGGUGGAGGGCGGUGUGCCCGUGGCGAGGUGUUGUGGUGUACUGGUGGUUUGGUCAGUUUCCGGCUCGGUUUCCCUUUGUGGUGCCUCGGCACCGACGUUUCCGGACAUGGGCCUCCGGGCCAAGACAUUGCGCGUCUGUGACGCCGACGAGAAAAUGUGUGGUGCUUGCGUUUGAUGGGGAUGUCGGCAGACCUCUGGCCUGUCGCGCCUUGUUGUGCGUUGGUGCUGCCGCCAAAAGACCUAAACGAGAUGAGGGGUGUUACGUGGCGGUGGGGCUUUGGCGGGCUUCGGCUUGGCUUCGACUCAUGUGCGUAACACUAUGAAGGUCGGCAGCCAACCAGGGGGCGGGUGUUGUUUCUCUGGGUCGCAGAUGGCCCUUCGCGGCGUGGGUACGGCGUGCCCCCGCUUGUCGGGCUGUCCCUUCAAUUGUAAUCCGCAUCCAUAGAUUGCAUUGGUUACAAGAUUCAUAGGAAGUUUUGUUGAGUACGUAAGCAAUCCCGUCAUCCUGGGAUGCGUGACUGCUUACAUAUGCUAUCGAGAUCGAAUACCGCACAGUGACCCAAAGUGGGAUACCUGGGGCGCCCGGCGUCGCGCGUCCAAGCGCGGGCUUGCGGCCUGGCAGCCUGGGCAGCCCCAUCGCCCUAGCGACUGGCUUUGCGGGGGCAUCUCGCCGCGACGGCGGGGCAUCAGGUGAGAAAUCGGCUUGACGGUCGCCCAUCGGGCAGCAUGUACACCCGCGCGCGCCGUUGCGACACACUGCAUCUUCACUCUGCACAGCUCACACGCCUGCCACACUGCUUGCAUCCGCUGUUAUCCGCCAGGCCUGAGGCAUUUCCCACACUCCAAUAGGAUACCGCCCAUCGCCCCUGCACCCCGCGUCCUCAACCCCCUGCCUCACCAGCCCAACGCGUGCGUCUACACAUUUUGCAACGCAACAAUGUUUUCGCAGAUGAUAUCCUCACGCAUGUACGUCUGAUCACAGGAAAGAUCGUUAGUGCUGAAGCCCUCCUCACCACGCAUACGCACACGCUGACACGCACCAACGGCUUGGUUGCCCGUGCCCACGACGCGUUCCGCUGUGGACGCGAACAUGCAGCACACCCAGACUGCCCUCGCGCUGCCGCGCCCGCCACAACAGGGUGUGCAGGCCACAUACACAUCCAGAAAAACUCAUUGAGCCCCGUCGCACCGAACCGGCCUGGCACAGGCACGGUCAACAAUUUGUCAGCACCGCACAUUCCAGGUUACACAAGAGCCCAGGGGCCUACCCAGUACCCACCCUUCGACGCCAAUACCCUCGCACCAUACAGUAGCGCACAAAGUCACCGCUACACACCGGUUCUUACUACCGUAUUGCAGCAUUUAUUAACGUGUUCAGGGGUAAUCCAUGCGGUGUGGAUGUCACAACAUUAGUCGGGCAAACGCAUUUCUGGACCGCUUUUGGCUUAGCAAUCUUAGCUUAGGCGCUGCACUUCGUGACGUCCAUGCCGGGUCCACGCGCAGAUUCGGAGCGCCAGCCAGCGCAUCCCCUUGAUUCCCUGAUGCGCCCGCACGACGGACAUUCCACCGCACACCGCCCUAUGCCACACAAGCACACGCACACAUGCAUUUCCACGGCCCAGACGCUGAGCCGCACCCCACCGUCGCACAGUAGACAACCCCCCCAUUUUUAGAUUCUAGACCGCAGUACAAGCCUGUUCAGCGCCGACACGCCUUCAACCCCUGUGCUCCGCUCGUUUUAGCUUGGUUUGGUUUAGUUUGGGCUGGAAUUUACAACCCUCCUUCCCCCCCCCCGAGCUGGCGCCCUCGCCAGCAGGCCACGGCACCUACGCCAGCAUCGCUCAGCGUGGCGUGGACAUGACGUCGUCACGUGUGAUCACGAUGGGGUGCGAAGCCAGCAGGAUGCGGGCGCGGCGGCGCGGCGGCGGCGUGCCAGGGCGCUGCAGCUGCCCACCACCGCUGCCAUCAGGACCAACGGCGCCCGUUGACCUGAAGCCGUUCACCUGGGCAUCCCACAGGGCAUCCACUACCGCUGCCGUUUUCGGCGCGGCGUAGCCGUCGGCUGCCGCCAGCAACGCCGCGUCGAGCGUCCCCGGCACAGCGGCGCCGCCACUCGGGUGUGGGACCGAUGUAGUUGAGGUAGCGUCCACUGCAGCGUUCGACACUGCGACGGUGGCGGCGGCAACUGCCGCAGGCGUGGUCCCGGGCCCGUUGGCGACUGAUGGCGGCCGGGCGGAGACGCCACCGCCGGCGGACCCGCUCCUGCCGCUUCGUGGCACGGGGGACAGGUCAGGGGAGCCCGGCUUAUUGUCGUGCAAGGCUGACGCGUCUGCCGGCGGCGGCGGAGAGGCGGGCGCAGCGCGUGUGGCGGCGGACAGUGGGAGUGUACUGUCGAUGGACGGCAGCCGGGGGAGCUCCGCCGGAGGUCCCGAGGGCGGCCGGGGCGGCGUUACUGGCUUGGGCUCCAGCACCGGCAAUGGCACUGCUGCCGCUUCAGGUGCCGCUGCAGGCGCAGCCGCCGGCCCGCCACCAGACGACGACCGCCGCAGCACUGCGUCCUCCUCGCUCGCAGAGGCCGCAGCCGGCGCCGAUGCCUCCCCCCGUACAAGGGGUCGUAGGUCCGAGGCGGAGGGCGUGGGACUCCACCAGGCCAGGUCUUCCGAGUUCUCCGUGCCCACCGCCAGCUCAGCCCCCGCCCCAGCCGUUGCGGGCACUGCCGGCGCCGCCUCUGCCGCGGCCGCGGCCGCUGCCAGCGGCGGCAGCACCGAUGGCCCAGCUGCCGCAGCGGCGGCCACGGGCUGCCGCACGGCGCGGACUGCCAGCGGCUGGUCGGCUUCUUGGUCGAAAGACGGGGGGUCGUUGUAGGCGAACGCGGACCGCGGCAGCUCGAAUGACGCCAUGGCGAUGCCGCCCUGGUUAAGUGGCUUGGUGAGCUCAGGCGCUGGUGCGGGCACUUGUGCAGGUGGGGCUGUAGGUGCCGGCGGAGGUGCGGGCUCUCGUGCCGGUGCUGGUGGCGGCACUGGUGCGGGCGCUGGUGCGGACACGGGUGGCGGCGCUGCCGCAGGUGCUCGUGCGGACACCGGUGGGGGCGCUGAUUCCGGUUCCGGAGGCGGCAUCGCAACCCUUUCCGUUUUGACGAUCCCGCGUGGCGGAGCGCCGCUGCUGUUCGACAGCCGGUGCGGUGGCGGCGGCGGCUGUGCAGGCUGGUCCUGCGCCUCCGCUGCGGCGCCGCCGCCACCACCGCUCACGCCCCUGACACCUCCUUCAGCCGCAGCAGUGGCCGUCACCGCCGCCGCCGCUGCUGCAGCAGCAGCUCCGUAGGGCUGGAGGUCCACGGAGGAGGCGAAGCCGCCGCUGAUGCUGCCUCGCCCGGCCGGUCCCGAGUCCGUCAUGGCGAAAGACGCCUCCAUCACACUUGCCCCGUCUACGUCCGCGCUGCUGCUCGCCUCUGCCUCCAAUCGCCCCAACGCCUCCGCAAGCGCGGCACCGGGCACGGCGCCGCCGCUGCUGCCGCCAGCUCCACCUCGGCUGCCAGCACCGCCGUCACUUUCCGUGCCGCCGUCACGCGCCCCGCCGGCUCGCGCCGCCGACGGCGCGGCUUCUGUGUCCGCCCUCGGCGCCCGGCCUGUGGUGUGCUCCCCGCGCUCCUCCCCUGUGAUUGCGCUGAGUGCGGCCGCAAUGGCGUCGUCUCCCGACUUGGCACUGGCCAGCAACAGCGGCGCCGCGCUGCCGCCAGACUCAUCGCCACCACCAGGGGCGUAUCGCGACCGCGGGGGGUGCUGCUGGUGGUCGAGGCUGGUGUCACUGGUGUAGCCCGUGUGGCGGCCGCUGCUGGCGGCGCUGCCGCCCAUCAAGCGGCCCUGGCUGGGAACUCCUAACGCGGUCGCGGCGAAGCGCGUCGUGCCGCCGCCAGCGCGCCCCGAGCCGCCCCCACCGCCCCAGUCGGGGCCGCUGCCGCCACCGUUGUCGCUGACGUGGCCCGAAGACAUGCCGCUGAGGGGCGAGGGAGAGCGCGAGCGGGGAGGGCGGUAGCGGGCCUGGCUGCCAGACGGAGCCACAAAGGAGUUGGACCGAGAGGGUGUGUUGCUGUCGCCGCCGCCAGUGGAGAUGCCGCCACCGCCCCCGGUCCGCGGGCUGUCACCAUUGAGCGAGGAGCCCGUGGAGGUCCUGCAGUAGAAGGUUAUCGCACACAGAUUGUAACAUUACCGACUGCUUCCAUGUAAAUUGUGUCCCUUCCCGCGGCCAAUGAGCGGAUAAUGGCAAGGGUAUGGUCAGGCCUGGUGCCGGCCCACCACCAGCGACCGCACCUCACCUGGCGAGCAGGGUGUCUAUGCUAACUGGCCCGUUGUUGGCCACGGCGGCGCCGCUGGGGCUGGAGCUCGAGCCCGCUGGCGCCAGUGACGUGCCGAAUGGGGACGAGGUUGCCGGUGCGGCUGCCGACGUCGCUAGCUUUGGCGCCACAAACGCUGCGGGUGGCGCGGCUGCGCCGCCAGAAGUGCGUUGCUGUAGCUGCCGUUGCAGUUCCUGCAGCUGCGCCUGGAUUGCAGAAAGCGAGGCGGUGUCUGCAAGCUGGAGGGGCGGCUGAGGCGGCAUGGCGGGCAGCGGGUGGCCCAUGGGACUGCCGCUGCCAGCAACCAUGCCCGCACCUACAACCACACCCGCAACCCCGCUCGCACCCGCACCCGUGGCCGCACCAGCGGCAGGGCUUGGCCCUGGGCUCUGCGACAUGGUGCCGCUUACUCCUCCGCCGAAACCACCCAGGCCACCGUUCAUUCCGCCGCCACCGCUGGCGAUGGGGCUGCCCAGGCUGCCAGGCCGCAAGCCCGCGCUCGGACGCGCGCCGCCGGGCGCCCCAGGUAUCCCCGAGCCCCUGCCGGCUGCGAUGGGCCGCACCAUGCUACCGAAGUUCUCCAGCCCCAGCUUCCGUGCUCCCGGCCGGGCCGCCAGCGCGCCGCCGCCGACUAUGCCAGCGGGCAAGCCCCCGCCCGCAGCCGCGGCCGCGCCACCGGCUCCAACCCCAGUGCCAGCAGCCGUGCCUGGGCUGCCCGUGAGUACGCCUGAGCUCUUGCCCAGCCGCGCGCCCGCACUGUUGGCGUUCACGGCCGGCAGCGGCAGACUGCUGCUGGCGGGGGAGGUGGUGAUGGUGGCGGCGGCGGUGACCGGCUUUGCCGGCACGCCCGCCCGGGCCAUCAUGGCUUGCAGUUGUGCCUGCUGAGCUUGUAACGCCUGCAGCGCCGCCAGCUGUGACUGCAAGGUGCUCGCUGCUGCGGCGGUCGGGGCUGCCGGGGCCGCCGCAGCGGCUGGUGCGGCUAAGGUGGCGGACGAGGAGAGGUCUGUGCUGGGCCGCCCCUUCUCCCCCACCUUCCUCCGUAGCACGGCAAGCUGGGUUAUACAGCGGGCAAAGCAGCGUGCCACAACUGUUUGACUCUUGAAAGAUAGUGCGGAUGCAAUGAUCUACAGAAGGGCUUUCCAUCCUAGUUGUCGGGGUUCACAUGCCAGACAUUCUGCUCCCACACAGCAGCCGCCAGCACCCAUCACCCAGCACCCACGCACCUGCGCCGCCAGCUCAGCCGCCGCGGCCGUGCCUCUGGGCGUGUUGCCUCCCGGCACAACCACAGACCCCGUCGGCACCGCGUCCGUUGGCAUCACGCCAGCUGACGUCAGCUGCAGCGGCGGCGGCCGGUGGUGGUGGUCCGAGCUCCCGGCAUCCGCCCCUGAAGCCGCGGCGCCGUCGGCCGCGGGCUGUAUCUCCGUGCCCCCGGCAGCCCGUGGCGAGCUGGCUGCGCUGCUCGCCGUCUUGGAAGCCUGCAGUGCCGCCAUCUGCGCCUGUAGUACCGCCAGCUGCUGCUGCUGCGGGGUCUGAGGGCUGGCAGUGACGCCGUUGGCCAUUGGAGAGUGCGCCGGUGGCGCCGGCGUCGGGGAUGCGGGCACUGAGAGCGAGGGCGCCGGGGACGCGGGCGCUGGGCUGCUGCCAGCUCCUGCUGUUGGCUGCUGCCGCUGCUGCUGGCGGGCGCGGCACUUGAGCACCAUGAGCGCCAGGUCCUCCUUGCGCAGCGGCUGGGAGGGCGUGGGGCCACCCUGGGGGGUUAGGGGGCGAGGAAGGAGGGAAGGGAGGCUGGUAAGACGCAGGUGGAGGCACGGGAGCGCAGGGCCGGAGGCGGACGGGGAGCCAUGAGGCAUGCACGGAUACAAGGUAGGCCCCAGCGCACAGGCGCGCCACAGGAACCGCGUAUGCAGCGGCACUGUGGGCGGGGGGGGGAGUGCCAUGCGGCCAUACCCCAGCACCAGGGCCCCUUGCCACGGCCCCGGACCCGCUGCGGUGUGGUAGACUGUGUGUCCUGGCGCCCCCGUGGCCUCUCACGCUCUCUCACGCCCCUCCCCACCAGGUAGUCAUCCGCCUGCAGCGCCCGCGCCACCGCCUCGUUGGCUUGAAGCACCACCACACUGCAGCCGCCGCCGCACGCCUGCCGGGCCUGCAUGGCGCCGCCGGGGGCGCUGAACAGCACAUCGGGCUGGAAGACGAUGAUGUCAGGGCCGCUGGGCCGACCCGCAGCCUGUGGAGCGUACAAUGUGUUUGAAGAGGUGGCGGGUGUGACAGCGUGUGAGGUUGAAGGGCCCUGUACGUUUGUUUGCAGCUCACGCCACUUUGUAUUGUCGCUAGUCGGUAGUACCCCAGCGGCGUACCACCACCGCGAAGUCGCCACGCACCUCGCCACGCACCGUCCUGAUCUGCUCUAUCACGGCGAACACGUCCGGCGCGCCCGCCAUAUGCAGGACCGAGGAUACCGGUGCCUGCGCCAGCGCCGACUGAAAGAUUGCGGCAAGGCUGGGCUCAUUGACCACAAGCAGGAUGUGUACCGGCUGAUGCGCGCCUGAGGCGAAAGGCAAGAGGUUGGUCAGCGAAAACGGUCAUGGUGGGAAUCGAAUGUGAUGCGGGUUGAGUUCGGGGGCCGGUUUCGGUGCACCACAUUGGCGUACCUGCCGUCGUCUGCAAUGAGCUCUUGACUGGCGUUGAAACACGGUCAAGUGCCGGUGCUGGCGUUGUGGGUGCGGCCUGCUGCGGAAUGCGGCUUUGCUGCUGAGCCGCGAGUUGCAUUUGCAGCGUCAGCAGCUGUUGCUGCAACUCCAAAGGGCUGCCUGGCUGCUGCAUGCUGCUGAGUGGCGGAGCGUUCUCCAGGGGCGGGUAGCUUGAGGACGCUUCACGGUACACAGGGCUGUUGGCGCCGCUGGAUGAUGCAGAGCCGUGUUGAAAGUGCUUCAAGAAGCCACGCAUCGUAAGCGACGACUAAGUCUGAGGCGUUGCGGUCGAGGGGAAAACAUUCUGUGGAGGGUCGCUCUUGUGUACCUUAGGCAGAACUACUUUACAUGGAUGAUUUUGGAAACACGUGUAGCUUAUAGCGCAAGAUUUGGCAAACGCGGUGCUCUUGAGGAACUCGUUUGCUACAAGCUUCGUGCCCCUAUUCCGCAUGUGUACCAAGUAGAAGUCCUGGCUCCGUAGUGUGGAAGAUGUCCAGCUUUCUAAAAGUCAACGGCGGGUACAAUGCUCAAGGACAAAGAUGGGGAAAGACCCAAUCGGCCCCCGACAUUUUCUUUCUCCAACAGCCUUGUUACAAGCCCCGUGCAUCAACACAAAAGCAAACAAGCUAUUUACUGCCAAGGGAGCCUGCGCCUCAAGAAACGAUUGCGCGAGGCUGAGUCCGGGAAGCAGGCCUAAGUGAACAAACAAAUACGCUACUGUAUGGGGGCCUGAAUACCACGCACUUGUUGCUGCGGGCCACGAUUUUUCGCUCGGGGCUGAGGUUGGCGCCAACUGGAAGGCGGAAGUUUGCUGCAGACGGGAGCACACGCCACCCUUCGUAUACGGCAACUCCCGUGGGUGCGCGCUUCGGCCAGGGCACCUGGCAUAACUCACACCAUGUAUAUAGUGCUCGCUGGGCUGCUAGCUGUCGCUGUCAGCGUGGCAAGCGCGCAAAAUGAUGCAGCUGGCUGCGCCGAGACCAUGAAGGGCUCAUGCGGGUAAGACUAGUGUUCCCCGGUCACGGAAAAGGGGCUGCGGGUAAGAAAAGCUAUGUGGCUUUGUGCAGUUGCUACUGAACUCCCACGUCCAUGACAGAAAAAAAG
rnacentral:lncRNA from 1 species